rnacentral:rRNA from 1 species
CAGUCGCCACGGGAAAACGUAGGGUGCAAGCGUUAAUCGGAAUUACUGGGCGUAAAGCGUGCGCAGGCGGUUCGGAAAGAAAGAUGUGAAAUCCCAGAGCUUAACUUUGGGACUGCAUUUUUAACUACCGAGCUAGAGUGUGUCAGAGGGGGGUAGAAUUCCACGUGUAGCAGUGAAAUGCGUAGAUAUGUGGAGGAAUACCGAUGGCGAAGACAGCCCCCUGGGAUAACACUGACGCUCAUGCACGAAAGCGUGGGGAGCAAACAGGAUUAGAUACCCCCGUAGUCCCUGUCUCUUAUAC